rnacentral:tRNA from 1 species
GCCGGCGUGGCGGGUGCGGCGGACGGUGCCGAACCGGCGUCGGCCGGCGGCGUCGACGGAGCAGCGGCACCGGCGUCCGGAGCCGGCGUGCCGGCA